GAGCCGGCUUUAGCUCAGCGGUUCCUUCGACUACUGUUCACAAAUUUCAACUUUAAUUUGUGCCUGAUCGUCUUCCCGGGGGUUCGAAUCCCGAGUCGAUCCGAGGCCCGCGGGCGCUUCCUGGCCCUUUU
rnacentral:vault_RNA from 1 species